rnacentral:rRNA from 1 species
UAGUAACGGCGAGUGAAGAGGGAAAAGCUCAAAUUUUGAAUCUGGUGUCUUUGACUCCCGAGUUGUAAUCUAGAGAAGUGUUUUCCGUGUCGGACCACGUAUAAGUUCCCUGGAACGGGGUGUCAUAGAGGGUGAGAAUCCCGUAUAUGCCGUGGACUACCGAUGCUCUGUGAUACACUCUCAACGAGUCGAGUUGUUUGGGAAUGCAGCUCAAAAUGGGUGGUAAAUUCCAUCUAAAGCUAAAUAUUGGCGAGAGACCGAUAGCGAACAAGUACCGUGAGGGAAAGAUGAAAAGCACUUUGGAAAGAGAGUGAAACAGUACGUGAAAUUGUUGAAAGGGAAGCGUUUGAAGCCAGUCACGUUUGUUGGGAUUCAGCCUGGCUUCUGCCUGGUGUAUUUCCUAGCCGAUGGGUCAGCAUCAGUUUCGACCAAGGGAAAAAGACAUUUGGAAUGUGGCUGUCUUCGGGCAGUGUUAUAGCCUUGUGUUGUAUGCCUUGGUUGGGACUGAGGAAUGCAGCGCGCCUUAUGGCCGGGGGUCGCUCCUCUCGACACGCGCUUAGGA